rnacentral:lncRNA from 1 species
GGAGGGCGGCGGCGGCGGCGGCGGUCCGGAGCGGCCUCUGAGCCGCACGGGGCGACAGGUGGUGGAUGCGUUGCUGUCGGGCUGCGACGCAGAUUUCAUGGUGGGUGGGGUGUAGGUGGGUGUGUGGGGGCCUUAGGUCGGGUGCGUUGGAGGUUGUGUUUUACCUUGGCGGGUUAGGGGGUUUGUGUGUGUGUGUGUGUAUGUAUGUGUGGUGGGGUACAUGCCCGAGCCCAACAAAUCAAUCCCGUCGUAAGCAGAAAGGCAUGGGCGGGCUUGGGUCGGGUGGGUUUGGGGGGCUGGCGCCUUGGCGGGUUUGGGUUAGGGUUAGGGCUGGCUCGGGUUGGAUGGGCUGCAGGCGGGCGCGGGGGUUUCUCAAAGCUGGCUUUGCCAACACACUUGCUGCAGCUGGACUGACAGCGGCCACACGUGGAGGUUCAGGGGCAUGCGCAAGUGCAGGCAUGACGGCCCUCGUGAUGGUGGUUUUUCCAGCCUGGCAUUUCCAACACUCAUGCGCAUGCCCCUUUGUCACUCAUGUACUUGUGUUCGCACCAGGAAAACAAUACACCUGUAUGUUACGCCUGUGUGUGUAUGCACGCGCAGGUGCUUGUGGACCUGACCGCCAAGUCCCACCAGGUGUGUAACUUGUGUGUGUGUGUGUGUGUGUGUGUGUGUGUGUGUGUCCCGCUCCCGCUGCGGCUCCCCCCGCCCCACACGAAACCUGUGGACCUGACCGCCAAGUCCCACCAGGUGUGUAACUUUUUUGUGUGUGUGUGUGUGUGUGUCCCGCUCCCGCUGCGGCUCCCCCCGCCCCACACGAAACCGAAACACCCAACCCAACAGACCCGCUCACCCCCGUGUGGUAACGACUUCGUCUGCAGUCUUCAGUGCAUCCUGUACCGCUUUUCCAACCAUCCUUGCAAACCCCCCCCACACACACACACACACGCGCACGCCUGCCCCUCCAGGUCCUGUGCCUGCCCAUGAUGGCCCUGGCCUCGCGCUGCAUCGCCGCCCUCGCCCCCCGCGGCCCCGUGGCGGCUCCGCUGCAGCUGCUGCUGGCGCACUGCCACGCCCGACUGGGAGCCAACCUGGCCAAGUGGGUGGAGGCGCAGCGGGCGGCGGUGGAGGCGUACGGCGCAAGGCUGGCGGGCGCGGGAAGUGAGUGGGGAGGGGAGCGGACGUGGCGUGUGGGUGUGCGGAGGUGGUGUGUGUGAGGGUGUGGGUGUGGGUGUUUUGGGGGGUGGGGGUAUCUCACCAUGCCGAGUAAGAGAGCCGGGAAGGGGAGGGGGGAGGGGGUUGCAAGGAUUGGUACAGAGAAGUGGGGGAAGGGGUGGGGGAAGGGGAGGGGAAUAGGGAGCACGACGCUGGCGGGCGGGGAGGGAAUGCGUGUGCCAUACCGGUAGGCACACAAGCACAGUGCACUCAUCGGCAUAGUCCGGGAACUUCAAGUCAAGUACCGUACAUCGAAUUGCCCCAUACACGCGCCGCCGCUGCCUGCCAGUCCGCUCCUCGGCCUCUCCCUCUUACUCCCCCUCCUCCUCUCGCCCCCUCCCACGCCUCCCACCCCUCGCUCUUUCGCAUUGGGUUCGAUGUAGUUUGGGCUGGUGUCUACAAUCCCAUCCCUCCUCACACCCUCACUCACACCCUCAACCCCUGCUCCGCUCGUUUUCGUUGGUUUUGGUUGAGUUUGGGCUGGUAUUUACAACCCCUGCCCUCCAGGCGUCAAGUCGCACCACGUGGUCAACUUCAUCUCCCAGUUCGCACUCAUGGCACACCACAUAGAGGUGGGGGGGCCGCUGGCGGGGGGGACAGGAGGGGAAGGGGGAGGGGGAUCCGGGGAUGGCAAGGUUUGAAACAUUGGGAACCGGAUACAACCGGGCAGGGGAAAGGGGGAGCGGGCUUGCAUCAUGGAGGGGUAGCAUUGGAAAUGCCAGGGGCCGCGAGGGGAGGGGCUGGCCGUCCACGGAAGACAGGAGGGGCUCACGGGGUUGGCGGGCGGUUGCGGUUGCGGUUGCCGGGGUGAGGGGCCCGAGUGUGCGGUGCCUGAAAACGUAGUCCCUGGAAGGACCGGGCUGUAUGUGCACAAACACACACACACACACACAACACGCGCGUGUCGUUGCCCUUCCACACACCUUCACGCACCCACCACACACACGCCUCCGGCAGGUGAUGCUGUCGGAGACCCCUGACGCCCUCAUAGAGCAGCUCUCAGGCGGCGCGGCAGUAGCAGACCCCGCCACCUCGGCGGCAGUAGCAGACGGCAGGCGGCGG